GAAUUUAAAAGGAGAAACAGCAAAUAUUUUAACAGACUACAUAAUAAUUGUUUUAAAAAAAUAUAAUUUAUCAAGUAAAAUAAUCGAAUUUUCGGAGGACAACUGCAAUACAAAUUUUGGUGGUGUUUCGAAACAAGUCACAAAUAAUGUUUUUGCAAUUCUUAAUGACAAAUUAAAAAGAAAUAUUCCGGUAUCGGUUGUGCUUUUAGAACAUCCCAAAUUGUUAAACUUGAUUAGUUCUUCAGAAAAAUAUGGAAUAACAAAUAGUGAAGAAAUGUCAG